rnacentral:lncRNA from 1 species
GACUGGAAGGAUUUUGUGCCCUAAUCUUGGGCUCUUUUAUGUAGGGUGGGGCCUGGCCAGUCUCCUGCCUCAAGGGACUGGAAACAGCUGUUACUGUCAUAGAGAAGGCUGGGGGCUGUGUAUUGGAGGGGGAGGCCUAGCCACUCUUGCCUCAAUGGGCUUACAGCUCCCUUUUUUGUUUACUAUUGAUAAACAAUCUUUUGAAAUUGCUUUUCACACUAAGAACAAGAUUCAAAAGAAGAGGCAAGAAGGACAAAAAAUCAAAAUCUGGAUCUCCUUGCCUAGGAGCUUAGCUGUUUCUACUGUGAAUUUAUAAUUUUGAGAGCAGUAUCUGUUUCCUUUUUCUAAAAAAAAAAAUUAAGACAGGUUCACCAGAAUAGAGCUCAGUUGAAAGGAGGUUUGCCAACAUAGGGCCUUGCAUUUGAUUCCCAGCACUGCAUAAGAUGGCACAGUGGCAUUCACCUAUAUCCCCAGCACCUGGGAGGUGGAGGCCCUAGAACAAGGAGGUCAGGUCAUCCUCGACUAUAUACUUAGUUUAAGGCCAACCUGGGCUGUUUAAGAAAGAAAAGAAAAGAAAAGAAAAGAAAGA